CAAGUCGGCGAUGAAGUUCCCUCGGGAAUGGAUUAGUGGCGAACGGGUGAGGAACACGUGAGAAACCUGCCUUUCAUUUUGGGAUAACUCCGGGAAACCGGGGCUAAAACCGAAUACUCCGUCUCGGCGGCAUCGCUGAGCCGGGAAAAAAUUUUGAUGAAAGAUGGUCUCGCGGCCUAUCAGCUAGUUGGUGAGGUAAUGGCUCACCAAGGCGACGACGGGUAGCCGGCCUGAGAGGGCGACCGGCCACACUGGGACUGAGACACGGCCCAGACUCCUACGGGAGGCAGCAGUGGGGAAUAUUGGGCAAUGGGCGCAAGCCUGACCCAGCGACGCCGCGUGAGGGAUGAAGGCCUUCGGGUUGUAAACCUCUUUCAGUAGGGAAGAAGCGAAAGUGACGGUACCUAAAGAAGAAGCACCGGCUAACUAUGUGCCAGCAGCCGCGGUAAUACAUAGGGUGCAAGCGUUGUCCGGAAUUAUUGGGCGUAAAGAGCUCGUAGGUCGUUUGCCGCGUCGAUUGUGAAAAUCUGAGGCUCAACCUCAGACCUGCAGUCGAUACGGGCAAACUAGAGUGUGGUAGGGGAGACUGGAAUUCCUGGUGUAGCGGUGGAAUGCGCAGAUAUCAGGAGGAACACCAAUGGCGAAGGCAGGUCUCUGGGCCAUAACUGACACUGAGGAGCGAAAGCGCGGGGAGCGAACAGGAUUAGAUACCCUGGUAGUCCGCGCCGUAAACGAUGGGCACUAGCUGUGAGAGCCUUCCACGGUUCUCGCGACGCAGCAAACGCAUUAAGUGCCCCGCCUGGGGAGUACGAUCGCAAGAUUAAAACUCAAAGGAAUUGACGG
rnacentral:rRNA from 1 species